rnacentral:lncRNA from 1 species
UAGGCAGAAAACCGCAGUAAAUCAUAGUCAGGUAGUUAUUACUGGCAGUGUAAUGUCUCGUUAUCAAUGCAGCUCUGAUCUUUUGGAAAUUCAGGACAUAAACUAAGAUAUGCCAACAUCUCAGACUAUCCUGGGAACAUAUCCUGCUGAUUCUUACCACAUUAAAUAAUCACGAUUUCAUCUGCCUGUCUGCUUUUAGCCAUUCAUGUCAGGGAACAAGAUUGUUUUAAGCGAUGUCUUGCAGCUAUUUUCUUUUUGACUGAUCAUUUCAUUCAGACUGAAGCAAACAGUCUUCAUAACUUAAGUCUCGUGUAGAUUGCUAUUUGUGCAAAAGAGUACAGAGGGCAACCACAUUGAAGUGUGCCACAUCUUUGAAUGAAGCACAAAGCAACGGUGAGUCUGUUGAACUGUUUGGCAAUUGGUACUUGUCCACCUGAAUUCCACGUAGGACUGACCCUCUUGGAGAAACUGCACCACUAACCCAUCAAAGCCAGAGGGAAAAGAGAAGCUGGAGGGACACCUGUUGACUGAAGAUGCGAUAAAAUUGCUCCCAUCAGCACAGAGGAGGGGAAUUAUUGGAGGAAGGUGUUCAGUGGACUUGUGCAGAUGCAGAAAUAGAACCAAGUUGUUCAUCUUGCUGUUGUAGAGAGCCCAGCAAAUAAAUGCCAACCAAAUGGGAGCCUGGAGCAGAGCUGGCAGAAGAAUAAUUCCAUUUUGUAGCACCUGAAUUUACUUCUCUCCAGACUGGGAGAAAGCAGAAUUUCUGGACAACGUUUUGUGGAUGCAAACAUAUAUUCAACAUAGUUUUGCAUUACUACCUUUAUGAAAUAGAAAAGUCCACCUGCCAUCCAAAGCAAAUCAGGAGCAAAGUAUUUAAUAGCUCGGUAAGUAAGAAAUGUCAUUUUUAUAAGAUUAUAAAGUUUUAUCAGUAAAAAUCUGAAUGCAUACAUUUUAGGUUAUGUGAGCAUUUGCAUCCUUGUAUUAUAUCUUUCUGCAUAUUGAAAGAUAAGUGAAAAGUAAAUUUUACACAGAAGUUACCUGGGUUGUCUUCAGUGGUUAUUCACUGAUGCAGUUCAAUUUUGGUUUAUGGAGUAAGUACAGAGUGCAUAUUCAAUGCAGGAUUAAAGCCUGCUAUUUAAAUUGAGCUGCUUUGCCUUCCUGCCUUAAUUCCCAAUUAGAAUCAGAGUUCUAAAUCUCUUUGAUUUACAUUUUUCUGCAGUGUUCUCCAUUGAGACCGCUAGCCGUCAUCGGUGUUAUAAAUUACUCUUUUAGCCAGAAAGAAUUAGUUUAUUGAGUAAGCGAUCAGCAAGCAAAACAGUGCUGGGCGGCCUGGGAGUCCAUGCUCCUCCAAACGGCCCGCACCCCCCCCGUUUUCACAGUCCUUAUAUCACCCAGUUCU